rnacentral:rRNA from 1 species
CAAUAGCGUAUAUUAAAGUUGUUGCAGUUAAAAAGCUCGUAGUUGGAUUUCUGGUGGGAGCGAUCGGUCUGGCGCUUAGCGCGAGUACUUGCAUCGUCUCCGGCCAUCCUUGGGGAAAGUCUGUCUGGCAUUAAGUUGUCGGGCAGAGGAUCCUCAUCGUUUACUGUGAAAAAAUUAGAGUGUUCAAAGCAGGCUUAUGCCGUUGAAUAUAUUAGCAUGGAAUAAUAAGAUAGGACUUUGGUACUAUUUUGUUGGUUUGCGCACCAAAGUAAUGAUUAAUAGGGACAGUCGGGGGUAUUCGUAUUCCGUUGUCAGAGGUGAAAUUCUUGGAUUUACGGAAGACGAACUACUGCGAAAGCAUUUACCAAGGAUGUUUUCAUUAA